GGAGAUGUACCCAAGAGGCUGAAGGGACCGCUCUCGAAAAGCGGCAGAUCGGUGAUACCGGUGCGUGGGUUCAAAUCCCACCAUCUCCG
rnacentral:tRNA from 1 species